AGGUUCUCUCUUCAGAAGUCCAUCCCUUCAUCGCUUUCACACCAGUCUGACGGAGCAUCGGUGCCAAAGCGACUUCAGCUAUUUUCACAAGAUUCAGGCCUGCAAUCUUAAGUGGGAUGCAAAAAACCCAAAGCCAGCCAUGUGCCAGUGGCAGAUUUCCACAAUGAGUUUGCAUUGCAACAUUAAUGAUGGCUUCGUCCCGGUACGACAUGACAGCGAGCCAGCAUGCACAGUAGCAGGACCCUGAAACUGAAGCAGCUAAAUGGAAUUCAGCCAAACACUUCCAAAUGUCUUCUAUGAAAAAGGUAUAUUGUCACUAGAUUGAAUUACAUUAGAUACUGCACCUGUGGCUACAUUUUAAAUACUUAUGUCAAAGCAGGUGUUUUCAUUUGUCAAAGGCAAAGUAUCGGCUAUGGCUUCACAAGAUUUUGGCCAGAAGUUUAGCAUGCUGAACAGUUUAAACCCACAGAGAGUAGUGCAGCAGCAGUUUAAUGCCCAAUGUGAUUCAGUGUUGAUUUACCAUUUAAUACCUGUACUGAUUGAUCCAUAAAUCACAUUCUCUUAUUGUCUUCCACCGCCUGCCAAUGAAGGUUAAAGAUAAUUCAUAAAGUUUUACAGUGGCUGGCUCUGGCAUACAUAACUGAGCUGCUGAGCUCUUACAGCACUGCAAGGUCAGUUAGGUUCUCUUAUUAAAAGGACUCAGACGUUCCUUGUUCCCUUCUUAAAACCAGAGGUGAUGCUGCCGUUACUGUUCAGGACGCCACGCAACGCUUCAGGCAGCACCUUAAGACCUUAUGUGUAUAUUUGUCUGGGCAUUUGUUUUUAUGCAUGUGUUCUUGUAUGUAACUUAUAUUUAAAACUCUAUGGCAUUUUGUAAUCUUAAUUCUCCCAUAUGAUAAAUGAAGGCAAACUAACUUGUGUGAAACUGCUUCUUGCCUACUACAA